rnacentral:rRNA from 1 species
GCUAUAAAUUUAGCCCAUGCUUUUCAUAUACACUCAAUAAAAUAUUAAAAUAUUUUAACAGUUGAGUAGAGACGACCAAAAAACUGACAAGAGCUACACUAAAGUACCGCAAGGGAAAAAUGAAACAGUAAUGAAAUACUAUAAAGCACAAAAAAGUAGAGAUUAAAACUUGUACCUUUUGCAUCAUGGUUUAACUAGUAUAAUCAAGCAAAAAGAUUCUUAGUUUGACCCCCCGAAACUGGAUGAGCUACUUCAGGGCAGCUUCUUGAGCUAACCCGUCCCUGUUGCAAUAUGGUGGGAAGACCUUGUAGUAGAGGUGAUAAGCCUAACGAAUUCAGUAAUAGCUGGUUACUCAGGAAAAGAAUUUUAGUUCAACCUAAAGUUACCUAGUAAAAUGAAUUACUUACUUUAGAGCAAUUCAAAUAAGGUACAGCCUAUUUGAUACAGGACACAACCUCGGAUAAUGGCUAACUUAUACUAAACUUAAGCUAAGUGGGCCUAAAAGCAGCCACCUUCAAAGAGCGUUAAAGCCUAAUUUUUCUAGUACUUAAUCCUACAAUCCACAAAGAACCCUUCACCAAUACUGUAGUACUUCUAUACUUUUAUAGAAACUUUUAUGUUAAAACUAGUAACAAGAAAACAUUUCUCUUAAAUGCAAGCAUAAAUCAGAAUGGAUCCCCCACUGAUAUUUAUACACUAUAGCAGCAACCCUACUCCCUCGAAAAUCCUGCCCUUCUAACCGUUAACCUAACACAAGAGCAUUUCAAGAAAGAUUAUAAAAAAAAGAAGGAACUCGGCAAAUAUAUAUACUCCGCCUGUUUACCAAAAACAUCGCCUCUUGCCUAAAUAUAAGAGGUCCAACCUGCCCAGUGAUAAUAAUUCAACGGCCGCGGUACCCUGACCGCGCAAAGGUAGCGUAAUCGCUUGUCUCUUAAUUAGGGACUAGUAUGAAAGGAUUUACGAGAGUCUAACUGUCUCCUUUUUUUGAUCUGUGAAACUAAUCUCCCCGUGAAAAAGCGGGGAUUAUAUUAUAAGACGAGAAGACCCUAUGGAGCUUUAGAUAAAGCAAUAAUUUCUUUUUACUGUUCUUUUCAGAAAAAUACUCACUAAAGUACCUUAUUGCCUAUCUUUGGUUGGGGCGACCGCGGAGUAAAAUUUACCCUCCACGCUAUAUGAAACCUCCCGUAACAAAGAGCCACAACUCCAUGCCUCAAAAAAUUGAUAAUUGACCCAAUAUUUGAUCAACGAAACAAGUUACCCUAGGGAUAACAGCGCAAUCUACUUUGAGAGUCCAUAUUGACAAGUGGGUUUACGACCUCGAUGUUGGAUCAGGGUGCCCCAGUGGUGCAGCCGCUACUAAAGGUUUGUGUGUUCAACAAUUAAAACCCU